rnacentral:lncRNA from 1 species
CCAGCACUCACAAUCGUUAACAUCUUCAUAUAAUCACAUCACGUGGAAAUUGGUCAGUGGAGUCACCGAACCCCCGAUGAGCCGUCCUCUCACAUGACUCAUCCUCUCACAUGUGCACCAGGGAGCCAAUCCCCCAUACUGGCCGACCGGUCUAAUCCUCACUUGACCAGCCCUCUCAUUGUUUUUCUAUCCUCUCUUUUCUUUUUCAUACCAACAGGAGG